CGGCGUGCUGUUCGCCACCCGGGGUCAGAGGGCGGUGGGCGCCCCGCCCAGGUCGUUGCCGAAAUGCGGGGUUGAAGGCGCGGGUUGGGUGCCACCUGGCCGGUGUCCGCGCGUGGGCGGACCCCGCCAGCUGGGCCCCCUCGCGCUUGGGGCGGCAGAGGACAGAGGAGCCAGGCAGCCGCGGCGGAGGGGAGGGAGAGCGAGAGGGAGAGCGCGCGGCCGCGGGACCCAGCCGGUACCUGGGCACCACUCGCUCCGAGUAGCGGCAUCCCUUCCCCAGGGCACUCUGUGUGCUAGGACGUAGCACAGUGCUCAGGACACGUAAAAGGACUGCAAUCAGACCACGCUCGUUCUCCAACCCCAACGAACGUCGUCAGGAGCGCGCUGUAAAGGCGCGGACAGGAGUUGUGUCUUUGCAAAGUCAGCUUUGCUCAGUCGUAAAGCAGUGGUAGCCAUUGUAAAGCAGGUUCAGGAUUCCAAGCUCAGUGACGUUGCGUUACACGUUGAACUUGGCUUCCUUCAAGUCACGUAAAGUGACAAAAGAGAACAAGGGAUAAGAAGUUUAUGCGCCUACUGCAAAGCCGGUUGAGAUGAAGCCUGGGUCUGGUUCGAAAUGCGUCAGCGGUUCACGCACGGCGGUCACUCUUCGAGCGGAGCAAGCAUCCCCUCCGUUCGGAGAGCCAUGGGGCCGAGAGCCAUAGAGCAUCCCGGGGCAGCGCUCAAGCCCUCAGACGUCGGUUUUAUUUGGGCGCGGGGGGUGGGGGGAGCGCCAGCGUCUGGAGAAUCUGGAGGUUGGUUGCGGAACUCCUACUUUUCACAGGAAUUUAAUCAGCCUUAGGUCUUUCCAGACCUCCUCCGGUUCUUGUGAUUCUCGGCACCUGGUUCUUCCAGGUUCCAUGGCCUUGUGGGUUCUCAGGCCUUAGUUCUGCCAGUCCGUGCUGGUUUGGGUGAGCUCUGCUCUCGGCUGCUUUCCUGAUUGUAUCACAACUUGGCAUGAGUGACGCCAUCUUGCACUCUAGAGAACUAAGUUAGAAAUCAGCAACAGAAGGAAACCGGGAAAGUCACAGUUGUGUGGACGUUAAGCAGCGGUCUUCCGUAACUAACGGGGCAAGGAGAGAAUCAUGAGAAAUAAGAUGCUUGUGAAUGAAAAUAAAAACCUAUACUAAAGCUUGUGUGCUGCCUGAUAAUGCAGCGCUUAGAGGGAAAUUUAUGACAAAAACCCCAUAUUAAAAAAAAGAAAAUCUGGAAUCUAGCCUUUGGCCAUAAGAAAUGAGAAAAGCAAACUAAAAAAGCAGAAACAAAAAUAUUGAUUAGGGCAGGAAUAAAUAGAAAACAGAAAAGCAGUGGGGAAAAACUUACAAAACCAAAGGUUGGUUUUUUGAAAAGAUUAACACACGACAAAAACUUUAGCUGCAUUGACCAGGUUAAAAAAAAAAAAAAAAAAAGAGGAAAACUCUAAUUACCGAAAUCAGGAAAGUGAAAAGAGCACUACUGACUUCGCGAAAUUAAAAUGAUAAUAAGGGAAAAAUAUAAAAACUGUGUGCCAACAAACUAGAUAAUUUAAGUGAAAUGGAUAAAGUUCUGGAAAAACCAAAAUACAGAACUUGAAGAAGAAAUAGAAAAUAUGAGUAGACCUGUAACAUAUAUAGAACUAUUGCCACUUUUUCUGAGUGUUAUAAAAGGCCUCAUGGACUCCAGAACUUUCAAAGAGGGUGUUCUAUGUCAGUACUUUCUCACUCCUUGGUCCCCACCUCUGAUCCUGCUAGUGGUCUCUAGAAGCUUCUUUCAAAGCUCCUGAGUCCUCAGUCGUGGUCAGGUGUUGAAGGAAGCCACACUCCUCAGCAAGAUAGAGCUAUUGUGGUUUUUCCUCUGGUUAUCCGAGAAGCAGAUACACCUCACUAAAAGGUAUCAUUUUUCUAGAAUUAAUACAGUCUAGCCUUGGGGUGAAAGCGUACAUUUUCUACUAACGUGACUUUGAUCUUGGUCCUUAGAAAAUACCAACACGUUUUUCAUAUUGUUGCCAUGAGGGGCUGCCGGCUCUACCCAACCCUACUGUGCAGGACAAGAGCCACACACGGUGUGGACUCCAUCAUACAUACCUUGCAGUGGUGGCAUUUUUAUAUUUUUCCGAUUGCUGAUGAAAGGAAGCAACCCUGCCUCCUCACCGUCCUCGGGCCACUCCAGCUGUCACAGAAAUGUGCUUUUUCGGGGUCUGGCAAUUGUGAGUUCUCCAGCCCCCGCCCUCCCCAGAUGUACCCAGUCCUAGAAGCCUCAGGAGGUCAACCUGCAGUGUUCCAGGUGCUAUCUCAAGGAGAUCCCCGGGACUCACUUCGUGGGCCCCCCCAGCCUCCUGCGUAGGUCUGACGGGCCUGGUGCUCUCCGUGGGGCUUCUACAAAAACACAUCACACGGCGCCCAGGAUUGUUUUCACUGGUGUGCCAGACGCUGUGUAUCCAAAAAGCACAGAGCUAGAACAGCCUUUCUCCCGUAGGCACACGGGGUGAGGGGCUGGUCGCCUGAUCGCAGUCAGCCUGAUCUGGGGCAGGUGGAGGCCGAGGUCCGGCUCAGUCCGCUUCUGGUUCGGAGUAUCUCCGAGGUUGUUGAUACUGUGUGAAAAUCGGAUUGAUUGUUUUGCAGAAUGAUCUCGUAUCCUGCGGUCUUGUGAAGAUAAUCUCAUUUAUUAGUUCUGGUUGUUGUUUUUUGUUUGUUUUGUUUUUUUGUGGAAGUCUUAGAAUUUUCUCUACAUAGACUCAGGUCAUCUGUAAAUAGUUUUGUUUCUUCUUUUCAAUAUUUAUGGUUUAAUUUCUCCUGCUUUCUCUCAUUCCCUCCCUCUCCUCCUUUCUCUGAAGGGAUGUGGCCAUUGCUCUGACUGAAGCCCCCACACAAUGCUGAGUAGAGAUACUCACCCAGUCUGCACUCCCGGGAUCAAUUCCGACUGGUCAUGGCUUACAAUCCUUUUUAUAUGUUUCUGGAUUCGGUUUGCUGAUAUUUUGUGAAGGGUUUUGUGUCAGUGUUCAUCAGAGAUGCUAUGUGAAGCUUUCCUGUGAUGUUCUGUCUGGCUUCGGCCUCGGGAUUGGGAAGCUGACAUCCAGAGCGGCUGUAACUAAACUGGUUCCUGGAGUGAAGGCAUCUGGAUUCUGGUCUGUGACACCACAAUUGUCUGGACGGGUUCCACCGUCUCAGGACUGUCUGCACCCAGUGACACAGCGUACCUGCUUGUACGACGCAUACACUCAAGCUCCUGUCAUGGUGACCGUCAGCUUUUUGGCGGGAAACCCGAGACGUCGUAGACUUCUCCAUGUCACAAAGAGUUGGAUUCGGGGGAGGGGAUUCACAUACUGAGUCGUUGCCUUUGUCAGGAGGACAAAUUGUGGUGGGAUAGAGUCACAGUGCGUAAGGGGGACCUUAUUUCCUGCUUGACGUGCUGGGGGGAGGGGGCACCUGGGUGGCUCAGUCGGUUGAGCGUCAGACUCUUGGUUUCUGCUCAGGUCAUGAUCCCAGGGUU